rnacentral:rRNA from 1 species
UACGGAGGGUGCGAGCGUUAUCCGGAUUCACUGGGUUUAAAGGGUGCGUAGGUGGGCUUGUAAGUCAGUGGUGAAAUCUCCGUGCUUAACAUGGAAACUGCCAUUGAUACUAUAGGUCUUGAAUUUUCCGGAGGUCAGCGGAAUAUGUCAUGUAGCGGUGAAAUGCUUAGAUAUGACAUAGAACACCAAUUGCGAAGGCAGCUGACUACAGGGAUAUUGACACUGAGGCACGAAAGCGUGGGGAUCAAACAGG